rnacentral:tRNA from 1 species
GAUUUGGCUCGGUAUAUUUUUGCAUUCGCAAUGCGAAGGUCGGGAGUUCGAUCCUCCUCCGCUCCACCA